ACUGACUGCACCUGAAAGCAGCAGUGGAGAUGAUGAUCAGGAGGAGUCACCGCCUGCUAAAACGCAACUUCAUUUCUCUGGUUACUGGAAAAAAUGCAGCAAAAAAAGUGU